GAUGAACGCUGGCGGCGUGCCUAACACAUGCAAGUCGAACGAAGCCUUCGGGCUUAGUGGCGGACGGGUGAGUAACGCGUUAGUACCUGCCCUAAAGUGGGGAAUAACUCGGCGAAAGUCGAGCUAAUACCGCAUGUGCCCGUUUACGGGUAAAGCCUUCGGGCGCUUUAGGAGGGGCUUGCGUCUGAUUAGCUAGUUGGUAAGGUAAUAGCUUACCAAGGCAAUGAUCAGUAGCUGGUCGAGAGGAUGACCAGCCACACUGGGACUGAGAUACGGCCCAGACUCCUACGGGAGGCAGCAGUGAGGAAUCUUCCGCAAUGGACGAAAGUCUGACGGAGCAACGCCGCGUGCAGGAUGACGGUCUUCGGAUUGUAAACCUCUGUUGCCCGGGACGAAUAGCGGAUUUUUCCGACUUGACGGUACCGGGUGAGGAAGCACCGGCUAACUCCGUGCCAGCAGCCGCAGUAAG
rnacentral:rRNA from 1 species